CCCCUAGAUGUUCUGGGCCGCACGCGCGCUACACUGAACAGUUCAACAAGUCUUAACCUUGGCCGAUAGGUCUGGGUAAUCUUUGAACGCUGUUCGUGAUUGGGAUAGACCUUUGCAAUUAUGGGUCUUCAACGAGGAAUUCCUAGUAAGCGCAAGUCAUCAGCUUGCAUUGAUUACGUCCCUGCCCUUUGUACACACCGCCCGUCGCACCUACCGAUUGAAUGGUCCGGUGAAAUCUCGGGACGGCGGCUUGGUCGCUUGCGUCCGACUGCUGAAACUUGAUUAAACCAUAUCAUUUAGAGGAAGGUGAAGUCGUAACA
rnacentral:rRNA from 1 species